UACGAAGGGGGCUAGCGUUGCUCGGAAUUACUGGGCGUAAAGGGCGCGUAGGCGGAUAUUUAAGUCGGGGGUGAAAGCCCAGGGCUCAACCCUGGAAUAGCCUUCGAUACUGGAUAUCUUGAGUUCGGGAGAGGUGAGUGGAAUGCCGAGUGUAGAGGUGAAAUUCGUAGAUAUUCGGCGGAACACCAGUGGCGAAGGCGACUCACUGGCCCGAUACUGACGCUGAGGCGCGAAAGCGUGGGGAGCAAACAGG
rnacentral:rRNA from 1 species